ACAGUGGUGGUUCAGUGGUUGAAUUCUCGCCUUCCACGUGGGAGACCCAAGGUCAGUUCCUGGCCAAUGCA
rnacentral:tRNA from 1 species